CGAUAGUAAAUUACCCGAUGCUCAAAGUGCUCAUGAAAUGACCCUGACUGGUGUGAUUCCAGCUUUGGCAGGUGCCAAUCUGAUUUACGGUUU
rnacentral:ncRNA from 1 species